rnacentral:ncRNA from 1 species
UAUAUAUAUAUAUAUAUAUAUAUAUAUAUAUAUAUAUGUAUAUAUUGUAUAUAUGUGUGUGUGUUUCUGUGUAUAUGUGUGUAUAUAUAUAUAUUUAUAUAUGUUAUAUAUAUGGAUAUAUACACAACUGCACACGUGCGCACGUACACACACACACACAGACAUACACACACACACAUGGGCAUACACUGGUGUCCCAUAAAUGAAGCAGCUUUUUUAAUAUGUUUCAUUAGAACAGCUUGACACUGUUAUGGUACACUAACACAUAUUGAUGAUAUCUUAAAUCAGAAUCUGAAAGCGAACCAGUUGCUUUUCCCCUUCCAAAGUUUUCUGUGAAGUUUCACUAAACUUAAACACUAAAUUUUCUCAAAUAUUUUCCUCUGGGGAUUUUUAUGUUUUGCAAUCUCGUUUUUUUCAUUUACAUUUAGUUAGAAGAAAAGCCUUGGUGCCAUGUCACGAUGACAUCUGGAACCACAGACUUAUGAUGUUAAUGUGGUUACUGUAUGGCUGGGAUGUUAGGAAAUUUAUGUGUAGGAGAAACAGAGACAGAGAAAACUAGUUUGACUUACCAGAAAUAGCUGCCAAAUUUCCUACAAAUCACUAUUAUGAAAAGAUGGGAGGGUCUUAAGUGGAAUGCUUUUGAUCAUAAAUCUGUAUGAUCAGGGCUGGCCUGGUGUUGAAUAACAAAACUAUACAGAAAUAUUAUGAGUUUUUAUUCAAGUGUUGAGUUGCUCUUCUUAGAGGAAUGGGCAGCAGAAAGCUGCACAAGGUGGAGCAAUGACAGGUCUGUGAUGGCCUUAAAUGUCUACCCUGGAGAUAUCAGUAAGUGCAUCUUCCCCAGUCGAAGAGAGUCAGGAAACCUUUAAACCACCUCCCGUGAUUGGGAUCAGGGCGUGGAAUUAACCCUGUAAACUAAAAAUUUCCAGUAGGUAUGGGCCAUUGGCCCACGUUGAUCAUAUCCCUACCCUUUGUACUUACUGUCCAUCGCUAUCACUGAUUGAAUGGUUCAGUGAGAUCCUUGGAUUUGGCUGAUGAGUCUGCUUGAGCACAUCAACAUUCUGCACAGUUGUUGGCAUUUUACUGAUGGUCCGGAGAAGCUGACUGAGCCAGAUUGCUUUGAGGAAAUAAAAGUCAAAUAUUCUCAUAGUCAUAAUGUACAAAAAGUGGGAUGGUCA